rnacentral:tRNA from 10 species
CGGGGCAUAGCGCAGUCUGGUAGCGCAUCUGGUUUGGGACCAGAGGGUCGAGGGUUCGAAUCCUUCUGCCCCGACCA